GAUUUUGUCUCUGGAUCCCUUCCCGGCGAAACUAAGCCUGUAGUUGCUCUUCGAAAUCCACAACCUUCUACUUCUUCUUCGUCCAGUGGAGGUCAUCGCAACUAAGGUUGUACCACCAUUCUGUGCACAGUCAUUGCGUACUUCUGUGGCGAGGUCCGUGCAACAGCAGCUGAAUCCGUUGUUGAAUCGAGCGUGAGUGUGACAUAAGUGAUUCACUUGGGUGGGGUACACGCGCUCGGGAAGAGAGUGAAGUGAGAGGAGAGGAGAGUAGAGAAGAGGGGAGGAGGAUUUUUUUUUUUUUCUAUAUGAUUAUCGAGGAUUUAGUGGGUUUGUUGUUGUUGAAUUUCCAGGCGAUUUGGAAUGUGGUGGAUAGAGCUGGAUUGGGUUUUUUGAGUAGUGGUGAUCUAGGACCGAGGGGUGUGAGGAUUUCAGAAGUUUCUGGAAUUUUACUGGGUGGGGUGGUCGAACUGUGUCAUCGAUUGAGGUAGUUGUGUAUCGUGAGCUUGGGAGAUUGGGUGUGUAGUUUUGGUAGGUGUGGGUCGAGCGCUCCAAGCAGUGUGCGGGGUAGGAGUCUCUCGAUGGUUUCCCAAGUGUAGUGACGUUUUGUUGGGCCGAUAUCAGUUGCCAAGCUGCAGCGAUCGGUGGUUUUUGUCCCGCUGAAGAGGAUUCGAUUGCGACUUCGAAGAUGCUGUCGGCAGUCCUUCAGGAAUUCGAAUUCUGACAGCAUUGUGCCUUCGCGCGAGGAAUUCCCGUUCCUGCGGAAUGCCACUGGUGUCUGCAGAUGAAUUUGCCUUGAACUCGUGAAGUUCCUCUAGUAUCAAUUGACAAGAGUUCCGAGUCAGUUGGGGACGAAGUAACCCGAGAAAACCAGUCCUCAAUUGUAACAUAGAUUUUUCCUGAUCGUCGGCGUCUCCUUAUCAGCCUUGUCAGUGUAUCGAAUUUCUCGCAUUGACCUCAGAUUUCACAGUCUCGACCUUUUCGAUGAUCCAGCUUUCUACCAUCCUAUCGCCUUUUCGCAGUUGGUGCAGGGUCUUGCAAAGAUUGCAGCACAGGCUCUCAUUCUUUAGACCAAACGAAGGUGUCAGUUCCAGUGGUCGUAUUAAAUUCCUGUAAGCUAUCAGGUAGGACUGUCUCCUCGUUCCAAACCCAGUUCGCCGAAGGGACGGAGUUUUAUUACUGUCGCGAUCGUUCUCUACAUUCCGAGGAGGUUUCGUUGACAUCCGGGAAAUUUCAUUCUGGAAACAUAUCUGGGUAGUAGCGAGAGAGAGAAAUGAGCACAAAUUUUGAGUACACAGAGGGUUUGACAGUGCUCUUUGUCCAACACAGUAUACCACUACCACUAAGAAGGCUCAAAACUGAAACAAUUCUGCCAAUUCGUUCAUGAAGGAGAUUCUUAUCGAGGAGAAAUUCGCUCACAUCGAAAGUCUCCGAAAUCACGGUUGAAGAAGACCUGUUCGUGCUCGAUGGUUGAUCCGGACCGCAGACCAGACCGCGAUACGCGUUGGUGGAUGUACUGUCAACCUCACAUUCGCGCCCUUAGGGAAGUCAUGUACUCAGCCAACGCGAACAAAGAAGUGGAGAUACUCUUGCAGAAGUGUGUCUCCCUGUACAUGGCCACGAUCAACUAUAAUUCGUCGCUUGACGACGAGAAGAUUUACAUUGCUCUCACAGGAGGUUUCGUCACAAGUAUGGAGGCGUCCUUUAUGUGGAUCGGAGGAUGGCGUCCCACCACAGCUUUGCUGCUCGUCUACUCGCUGAUGGGUGUCCAACUGGAGGACGAGAUUCGCAACUUCGGCUAUGGUAUCCGGGACACGACGAAUACCUCGGCGGUCCUCUCCCACAGGCAGCUAGAGAACCUGACGAACGUACAAAAGAGCACCCGCAACGUGGAGAAGAAGCUCUCUAAAAAGCUGGCUCACCUUCAGAUGCUUAUAAGCGACCAAGAUGUGCUUGCAGCCGUAAUGCAGGUAGAUUCAUCAACAAGUAGGUCAGGCUCCAAGGCUAACCCUGACAUAAGAACAGUCCUCAAGCCUCGAAUGUCGCGACUAAAGAAACUACUGAUACAGGCAGACCAACUGCGUUUACACACACUCCACCAGCUCUUUCUGGUUCUCACCCCAGUGCAAGUAGCUCGCUGCGCCAUAGCCUCAUUUGAAUUGGCGUUUAUGAUGCGUGAGCUCGGCAAUUCGGCUCACUGUAGGAAUUUACAAACUGCAGUCCCAUCUUCUUCUAACACAUUCACUUCCCAAAGUCAAGGCGACUUUGAUGUUCAAUCCUCUAGAACUUUGCCCUCGCGGCUGGAUACUGGCCCCAGCUGCAGCACUAAGGAUUCUGGCACUAGUGUAGAAGAGUGUAGUGUCGACGAUUGAUGUGUCUCAGUCUACAUUUAGAUCUAGGCAUAUAUAUAUAUAUAUAUAUAUAUAUACAUACAUAUCUAUCUAUCUAUAAAUGUAAAUGUAUAUGUGUGUGCGUAUGAUACGUAUUGGCUGCCAAGAGUUGCUCGUGUUUACAAGGGCCACUCUAUGCGAUAGUCUAACUCCUCAAAGUCGAUCUAUGUGCCAGCAAAGCCUGCAGUGAGUGCCAUUGCCGGUGCCGUCCUCUCUUCAUCAGAUUUUGGGAGUUGGAUCCCCCGGUGCGGUGCAGAUCGAUGCGAAGUCUGAGCCAGGCCGACUCCUAACGGGCCCAAACUUCUGGAAAGAGCUAGCUGCGGCAUUGUGAUGGUUAAAUCUACUCCUGGCGGCAAGAUCAUUUGAAGGAAGGCGAGAUGAGGCUCUACAGGUACAGCUAAACAUCACAUGCUAAGGUGAUCGAAGAUGGUCAGCCUGGAGGCUGCUAGCAACGGCUGCCUGAACCCAUCGACAAAUGCUGAUGGAAGAACUUCUGUAUUUCGAUGGCAGUUACCUACCGAUAGUGGUGACAGUAGAUGGAUAUGAGGACAUUUACGAUUGAAUUCUUUAGUUUAUGAAGAAAAAGGACAAAAGGUCUUUAUACGAUCAAGGAGCGUAAAGAAAUGUCUCCUAUGCUCUUUUGUAUACCAUUCAGUUCUUCACACUGGUAAUAAACUUGUAAAAGUUCAUUCAACAGA